GUGGCCCGGUGACUCUGCCGCACGAUUUGGGGGUCUCUUUUUUCUUUCUGGCUGAGGAGCGCCGAAGAGGAAAAGGUGCGUUCGAGCCCGGCCAGCGCCUCCGCUCGUGCUGCUGUCCCGGGCAACUGAGGGAAUGUUAGUAUUUUGAAUUUACCACUGUUUUGAGAUGGAGAAACUGUUGUCCCUUGGAAGAAAAUUCCUGUGAUUCAUACUCAAGAUUACUCACAAAAGUGGGGAGGAGAUCCUGUUCUAAUGUCUUUCAGCCCUGAAAAGAUGACUCUGCAACUGGAAGCAGAGCACAUGGUUCCAGAUGCUGCCCCCAGAGGAGACCUUCCAUUUGUUGGAAUCAGGAAUUAAGUUUGAAUCCAGCCCCCACUGAAAGUCAUCACAGCAACCAGAUUGGAGCAGACCUUUCCAAACCUGACUGACCAACAAGCAUGCCACCCAGCAGAUAUGAAAGAAAGGACCCUGAGAUGUACAAGUAAAGACUAAAAGACUCUUUUCAAUCCCCAGAAGACAACUGGAAAGACUAUGGCGGGAGGGUGGAAAUUCAUUGUUUUAAGGUUUUCUGUCUUGUCUCCUUUAUAUUGUAAUCAGUCUAAAGUAUUCAUGUAAGGAUUGUAUUUGAAAGUGGCUAUCACAAGUUGUGAACACCUGAGAUUUCUGUCUAAUGGUAGGGAAAUUUGUCCAGCAUGUUUGUAUUGUUUGUAUUGCCUGAAUUGUAAAGGUAGCUGCAUACACAGGCACACAGAGAGACACAUCAUUCAGAAUUAGUCUAUUCCCUUCACUUACCUCCACACAAGGCUUCCCCUAGGUUGAUUUUGCUCUGUGGCACUAAAAGCCCAAGGAGUCAGAUCUCCCUGCUAAUUCCAUGGGGGAGGGGCAUCCCCCUCAGGCAAUUCCUCUCUUGAAGAGAUAGCAGAAAAAGUGAUAUCCAAAACCCAAGCCCUGACUAUGACUCACAAAUGAUGCUGCCCAGUUGCCCAGUAAAGCAAGAUAUGUUGCACUGGUGGUCUCAUGAGUAGAAGUCCCAGGGCUCAUUGUGCGUAAUUUAAAAAAAAAGAAAGAAAGGAAAAAGCCUGGAUUGCACACUGAUUAACCUCAAUUUGGACUGGAAAAAAUCUUGGAUAGACUAAAGUAAGAGCUAGGGCAGGUUCAGUAACCAAUCCUUGGAAAUGGGCAGCCUGUAAUUUAAAGGAAAACCAUGGCUGUGAAAAUUUUGGGAUGUGUGCUUGCUUGAAACCUGACUGGAAGCUCUCAGAAAGUGAUAUCUAGCAGCUGAAAUUAAUUGGCAUAGAAAAUUGGAUACUGUAAAAUUCUUACCAGAACUUUUCCCCUGGCUGCUAGACCUUCAUGGUUGAAAGCUUUUGGGAGCCACUGAAGGAAUCUUUUUUCUGUUGUCUCUAUCAAUGGCUUCCUUUGCAUCAGGAAAAUUAAAAGCACCCAUUGAUUUGAUCAAUUUUAAUUUUUGCCAAGAGCAUGUUUCAAAACUCAGGUUUUGAAAAAAAAAAAAAAGUAGGGAUUGUAGGAAUUUAGCACCCACCCCCCUCCUACAAGAAUGAAAUAUUUUAGAAAAUACUUAAAAGGCAGAAUAUAUUUCCCUGGAUGAGAAAUGGAGAAACAUGUUUUAAAGACAAAGCAGCUCCCUGCAACUUCCUGCCACCCCCCACCUUUGCUAAUGGGCCAUCAUCUGCAUCAUAAUAGAACCCAUCUAGAACUGAAACUCACCACAUGGCACCUGGGAAGAUUACAUCAGCCAGCAAGGCUAGCUAAGACUCCCACCCCCUGGAUACUCUUCCUGUGCCCCAGAAAGUUCAAAGCUCAGAAAAAGCAUAAAACCAGGGAGCACACAGGAUCUCAGCCCUUUUCUGUUCAGGAACUCAAGCCAUGUGAUCCUGACCACCAUUAAACCAUCUUUCCAAGCAGCCUCCAUGUUUCCAGUGUCUUUGUCCCCACUUGGAACUGAACCCAGAUGGA